GUCCACACUGUAACGAUGAAUGCUAGGUGUAGGAGGUAUCGACCCCUUCUGUGCCGCAGUUAACACAAUAAGCAUUCCGCCUGGGGAGUACGGCCGCAAGGUUGAAACUCAAAGGAAUUGACGGGGCCCGCACAAGCAGCGGAGCAUGUGGUUUAAUUCGACGCAACGCGAAGAACCUUACCAGGUCUUGACAUCCAGUAAAACCCGUAGAGAUACGGUGUGAGCUUGCUCAUACUGAGACAGGUGGUGCAUGGUUGUCGU
rnacentral:rRNA from 1 species